rnacentral:rRNA from 1 species
UGGACCUGAUAUCAGACAGAUG